rnacentral:lncRNA from 1 species
CACAGUGGCAGAUUUUCUUUAAUAGAUAUAUUUCAAACAGAUACAACAAAUUAAAAAAUCUAAUUCAUGGCAGGUAAACAUGGGUGCUCAAAAAGUUCCACAUAGACAUUUACACUUGGGCCAUCAGUAUUUCCCUCACAUUCCCUUUUGUUAAGUCCCAUCUUCGCAGUGGCAGUACAGGAGAAAUCUCCACCGUCACCGCACAAUCCACCAGGCGCAUUACCACCUGAAGUGAAGGUCUCAUCUCGAAGGUGCGCUCAGCCAUAAAAAGAAAACAUAUUACAGAAAGGAAAAAUAAGUGUGCUCUUCCCACCCGCAAAGCGGUCUCACCUUCAGUUCUAGCUUUCUUUACUCCAAAGUCUUCUGAGUCUUCCAAGCAUCUCUUUCGAUUUGUUCCCACACUAAUAUGAUUAGGAAAUACAUUCUGAUGACCCCCAUUUAAGAUGCCAUUGUUAUAGAAAUGGUUCAGAUGACAAUUCUGGAGGUUCAAGAGAAACUGGGCACACUCUUGGAAACCCUGGGUUUGUGCAAUGUCUGCUGCUGUCAGGCCACUGGCAUUUCUCAGGCUGUACAACACAAAAACACUGAAUUACACCCCAUCCGCGUGCUAACCUGGUCUCUGCUCCUGCUGAACUGACUAGCUAUCUGAAGGUGGUAUGAAAGAGUAAACAAAUUCAUAGCAAAUCUUCAUUAAAGAAGUAGUUAAUCAAUCUAGCUCUGUAACUAACUUCUCUUAUAUACAUUUGAUUUCUAAGCAAGAUUUGGGAGAUAAACUAAAUAUGCUAAACUUCUAAAAAAGGCAUCUUCCUAUUUAACUUCUCAAAAUCAUGUUUUAUGUUAGUCUGAAGAAUCUAAAUUUACGCUAACUUCAGACUUGAAACUGAAUUCUAUAUUAUAUGCACUUAAUUUUAAUACCCAUUCCUUUAGCGUGAAUAAAAUCAUAACAAACAACAUGUACUGAGAUUGUCCAUGGCAUUCAUAACUGUCUUCCUAAAAACAAAGCAAUGGCUCACCAACGAGCCAGCCUUCAUGCUUACAUGUGACACUGUAAGUGGAAGUUUAGAAGGAUGUCCUGACAUUAAAAAGUAGCCUAUCAUCAGAUUCCAGAGCUGAACAGCUGUGUUUUUCUGUCAGAUUUUGAUUGUUUUGGCCUUGCUUGGGAAAACCUGCAGGAGUAUUGUAUUUUUGGCAUUGUAGAGCAUUUGAGUAGUUGGUUCCUUUAAAAAGGCUUUGAAUACUGUCCUAAAAACUCAUCCCUACCACUCACAAGAACCAAAGUUUUACCUGGCUAAUAGUACUAAAAAGGAAAGGUCUGAGACCUCUACAGUAGCUAAAACUCAGAUUCAAGUAGGAAGUGAUGGCAGAGUAAGUGAAAGAGCUGAAUAAAAUAGAGUAAGUUGAACUUGUAAACCUUUAGACACUGAAUUAAAACUGAGGGAUCAAAAGUAACUCCAUGUUGAAGUUCCCCUGGAAGACAAGAAUGUACACUGCUCUGUGAAAUAAACCUGUAAAAAAGCAGACAUCCUGUUAGCUGCAGGUUGAUAAACAAACGGGAGAAGUACUUAACAGCAAAGACAGCUUCCAUACCUGUUCAGCAAGCUACACUACAUCCACAGCAAAAGCAUGAUGAAAUCAAGGCCUUGUGCUGUGUCACUCAAACAACCACUCCAGAACCCUGAUGCC